UGAGUACGAGAUGCUACGGCAUCGAAGCAGUCUAUGUCAUACUUCCAAGAAAAGCUUGCACUGUCAUAAACAAAGAAUGCCUGUACCAUAACCGACACAGGUGGGUAGGUAGAGUAUACUAAGGGGCGCGAGAUAACUCUCUCUAAGGAACUCGGCAAAAUGACUCCGUAACUUCGGGAGAAGGAGUGCCUUAUUUCUAAGGUUGCAAUAACAAGAUCCAAGCAACUGUUUACCAAAAACACAGGUCUCCGCUAAGUCGUAAGACGAUGUAUGGGGGCUGACGCCUGCCCAGUGCCAGAAGGUUAAAGAAGUUGGUUAGCAUUAGCGAAGCUGAUAACUGAAGCCCUGGUGAACGGCGGCCGUAACAAUAACGGUCCUAAGGUAGCGAAAUUCCUUGUCGGGUAAGUUCCGACCCGCACGAAAGGCGUAAUGAUUUGGAUACUGUCUCGGAGAGGGGCUCGGUGAAAUAGACUUGUCUGUGAAGAUGCGGACUACCUGCACCUGGACAGAAAGACCCUAUGAAGCUUUACUGUAACUUGAGAUUGAAAUUGGACUUUAUUUGCGCAGUAUAGGUGGGAGGCGUUGAGAAUAAUCUUGCGGGAUUGUUGGAGCCAUCAGUGAGAUACCACUCUUGUAAUGUUAGAUUUCUAACUUUGUAUCAUUAUCUGGUCAAAGAACAGUUUCAGGCGGGCAGUUUGACUGGGGCGGUCGCCUCCCAAAGGGUAACGGAGGCGCACAAAGGUUUCCUCUGAACGGGUAGAAAUCGUAUCUAGAGUGUAAAGGCAUAAGGAAGCUUGACUGUGAGACCUACAAGUCGAGCAGGGACGAAAGUCGGUCUUAGUGAUCUGACGGUGCUGAGUGGAAAGGCCGUCACUCAACGGAUAAAAGUUACUCUAGGAUAACAGGCUGAUCUCCCCCAAGAGUUCACAUCGACGGGGAGGUUUGGCACCUCGAUGUCGGCUCAUCGCAUCCUGGGGCGGUAGUCCGUCCCAAGGGUUGGGCUGUUCGCCCAUGAAAGCGGUACGCGAGCUGGGUUCAGAACGUCGUGAGACAGUUCGGUCCAUACCCGGUGUAGGCGUUAGAAUAUUGAGAGGAGCCUUCUCUAGUACGAGAGGACCGAGAAGGACAUACCUCUGGUGUACCAGUUAUCGUGCCAACGGUAAACGCUGGGUAGCUAUGUCUGGAGUGGAUAACCGCUGAAAGCAUCUAAGUGGGAAGCCCACCUCAAGAUAAG
rnacentral:rRNA from 1 species